rnacentral:rRNA from 1 species
GACGAACGCUGGCGGCGUGCUUAACACAUGCAAGUCGAACGAUGAAGCCGGAGCUUGCUCUGGUGAAUUAGUGGCGAACGGGUGAGUAACCCGUGAGUAACCUGCCCUUGACUCUGGGAUAACUGCUAGAAAUGGUAGCUAAUACCGGAUACGACCCUCGGAGGCAUCUCCAGGGGGUGGAAAGUAUUUCGGGCAAGGAGGGACUCGCGGCUUAUCAGCUAGUUGGUGAGGUAAUGGCUCACCAAGGCGACGACGGGUAGACGGCCUGAGAGGGUGACAGGCCACACUGGGACAGAGGCACGGACCAGACUCCUACGGGAGGCAGCAAGGGGGAAGAUGGGAAAAUGGGCGCAAGGGUGAUACAGUAACGCAGCGUGGGGGAUGGCGGCCUUCGGGUUGUAGACCUCUUUUAGUAGGGAAGAAGCGAAAGUGACGAUACCUGCAGAAAAAGCACCGGCGGACUACGUGCCGGCCGCCGCCGCAG